CACAGUCCAUAUACAGUAUAUAUAUACAGUAUCUAUCUAUAAAUGCAAGGAAUGUCUGUCUGUCUGUUCCACAAAUAACUCUCCAACUGCUCAUCUGAACAAUCUCAAAUUCGGAGGAUGUAAUCCUUAUGGUAUGGGUGUGUGCAGUGCCAAGUUUCAUGUUGUUACAGCAAAAAAUGCCAAAGAUCUUAUAAAAUUAGUGAUGGAAUCUUCAAUUUUAUCUGCUCUCUCCUGUCUCUUAGCAACAGCUGCCCAUAGCGAUAGAUGACACUAAUCACAGUAGGUCCAAACCAACUAUUCAAAUGCAUCAUGGGAGUGGGUAUGUGUCUCCUCUGACUGAAAUGACAUACUAUACACCUUCAGCAACUCCAGGGUAAAAACAGACUGUUCUCCAGACGAAGUCAUGGCUCAGUUUUUAAUUAUUUUGCCAACAAUGGUCAAUACAGAGAACGUAAUACAUGAAGAUCAGAGCAAGUACCAAUGUGUGAAGGUGUGGCUCCACAGACUGGGGGUGUGUACCUCUGUUCUCUGGGCUCAGAGGAGCUGGAGCAGGGAGUGACGUGAGGAGCCUCGGCCUGAGAAGAGUUUUCCUUGGGAAGAACCAAGUGUGCUGAGCACUGAUCCCUCAGAACAACAUAAAACGAUCCAAACUGGAUUCAUGCUCCUCUCUGGAUGCUUUGCAGCACCUUGGAACCAGCUGUGGUCCUCGAGCACAGAGGACAGGAGCAACCUGGACCUGUAGCUCACAGUGCAUUCUCACUUUCACUGCACGGAACCAGCGUGCAGAAAACAGCACGGAACCGCUCAGACCCAGUCCAUUAUGCACUGGUCUUGCUCGCCCCUGUCUGCAACCAGCAAAUGGAGGACGGAGUCUCCGGACCAGAGGACGGCACAAGACCAAAACCGGACCCCUAGCCCCGUCCUGAGGCGGUGCGCGCUGCAGUGAGUGCUUCAGACCAACUUUGGUUCAUUUGCCAGUGUGAAAAAACCACACUGGAGUCUGUAUGCUACAUAAUAAUUUUAUCGCCUGGUACAGACCAAAUAAUCGAACCAGUGGUGUGAAAGUGUUAAUAUAGACUGUAGAGAAGUUAAACGAUCAGACUACAGUCGUCCCUCGCUAUAUCGUGGUUCAUCUUUUGUGGUCUCGCUGUUUUUUUAGUGCAAUUUUGCAUGCUUUUUUUUUACAGCGUAUGAGCAUGUACUGUGUUCCUCCCCCUGCGUCCUGAUUGGCUAAGGUAUUGUAGACUAUUGUUAAUCAAUCUCCUUCGUGCCGUGUCUCCUGUACAGUACAGAAUGUGUUCAGUUUGCCAAAUUUACAUAAAUGUUCGAUCGCCAGCCGUGAGAUUCUGAAGUGCUGCGUGAUCGGGCUAUUGGCGCACUUACUGUGAGGUGCGGAGCUCUCCGUCUGUCCUUUCUCCUGGGGUCACCUCUGAGCUCGUGAUCGUGAGUCCUGGUUCAAUUCUGGUUUAGUCCUGGUUUAGUCCUAGUUCAGUCCUGGUUUAGUCCUCCUCUGCAGUCCUGGAAUCAGUCCUGGGUUAGUCCUGGUUUAGUCUUGGGUUAACGGGCAGGUGCGGGCAGUUGUGGGCAGGUGCGGGCAGGUGCGGUCCUGUACUGCGCGGGUGUGGGUCUCCAGAAAUGGACCCGUGCAGGACUCUGCGCUGUCGGCUCCAUUAUGGAAUAAAUUAAUCUUCGGUUUGUUACAUAAAGAAGGAGGAAAAUAACAUAAGGACGACAGCAGCAAUAAGUUUUAAGAAGGAAGUAAAAAGUGUUGUAAGUUUCCUGUGUGAGAAAAGUGUAUAAAGUUUGUGCUGAGGGGUUUUACAGACUUAAAACAGAUAUAAUAAUUGUAAAAAAUAAAGUUGACUACUUAGCAGAUUUCACCUACCGCGGGUUAUUUUUAGAAUGUGACCCCCACGAUAAACGUGGGACACUGGAUUCCUUUUUUGAUGAUGAUUUCUUUUCCUCCUGAAGACUGAAUUAUAGUUCUGUGUCAACUCAGUGCACACUGCCGCCGUUGCCUUGUCGCCAUCAUUUCUGAUUUAUGGUUCUGCAUUGAAGUCUAUGUUCCACGAAGUAAUUCACUGGCACAACACUAGUCGUACGUGUUUACAAAAUGAAGUGGGAAAGUGGAGUAAAGGAAAUGUGUGUAGAGCGGAUGCAGAGGACCAAUCAUUUCUAGGCCCACUGGAGCCGUUUCUGUGGUGAGCUUUGUUUAAGGGCCCAGUAGAAGGUUUAUGCAGAACUGCAUUUUAGCAGCUGCUCUCUUAUUCUUAUACAUGUAUUUGUCUGGCAGAAACCUUCUUCAUUGUGCCUUUAUCUGCACAAAUCCGUCUGAGCUCUGAAUCAGAUACAAAUUUCUUAAUAGUACGAUGAUCAUGCUUAAGUUUUCCUGAAAUAUCUAAGGCUUUCAUACCUUGUCCAAGGUAUUCAACUAUUUCAGAUUUUUCGGCACUGGAGAGAUCCUUUUUCUUUCCCAUGUUGCUUGAGAAUGACGUUCUGCUUAAUAAUGUGGAACAUCCAUCUUAAGUUGUUUUUCCUUUGAUUGGACUGACGUGGCAAACUCAUUGGCUCAGGCGUCUGAGAUUGAUUUCAUUGACCCAAAGAGCCUUGAGAAACAAAACCAUCCAUGAGUUUCAUUGGAAAACAAAAAAAAGUAUCUGUAGUGACUAUUUGUCAAAUGAAAGUAACAAACAAAAGUGUGGACAAACUCAGAACUAAACAUAACUCAGAUAAUCACCUUUGGCACCGUGGGGAUGUGGUUUACGCAGCACAAAUCAAUGUCCAUGACUAGAGAUGAUUUUCCAAGGUUUAUUUUCCAGUUUUUUGGCCAAACAACAAAGAAAACAUGUUUAAGGCGACUCCUGCUGCUUCUCCUCGUGACUGGGAAAAAACCACAGGUCCACCCAGGUCACUCUGGUCCAUGUACCACCCUCCUUUAUCCCCGAGGUGACCCACAUGAAACCAAAACAAAAAAGAGCUGCUAACGUAAAUAACACCAACUUAGACUAAGAAAUUAGCAAGAAUAAUAUUAACAUAGCAAAAAUAUAUUAUACAAAUGAACAAAACUAAAUUAGUAAACUAACUAAACAAACAAAAAUAAUAAACAAAUUGUAGAAUCAACAAAAUAAGCAAAUAGCUCCUACACUCCGGCCCCUAAUUGUGCAUUAAAUCACAAUUACCAGUCAACUGAACUAGGAGCUGUUCUAAAACGGUGUCAGUAUUAGAUAUGUGUGAUGCAUUAGCCUUAGCUGAAUGUUUCUUCUUUCUUCUGAUAAACCUGCAAGAGAACAUGACAGACGGAGCACAGGAUGCAGAAUAGAGACAGACAGAGGUUUGAGUUUAAUUUGAGUCCACAGCCGCUUCCAGCAGCAGACAGAGUUUGGUCACUGGUUUCUCCAACUCACUGGUUUUGGUCUUGAUCUGUGCUGAGUGAACCAGGCCUCUUGAGUCAGUGUUUACUGCCAGGACUCUUCCCAUCUGCCAGCGUCCUCUAGUCCAGGGGUCGGCAACCCAAAAUGUUCAAAGAGCCAAACUGGCCCAAAAAAACAAAAACCAGACCUGCCUGGAGCCGCAAAAAAUGAAAAGUCUUAUAUCAGCCUAAUAUGAAGACAACACAGGCUGUCAGUAUAUUAACUGUAUAAACCCACUAUUAAAAUGACUAAGUCGGCUACAAAUACAAAAUGAACAUCAUGAUACACAAACCCUCUGUGACCCUCUCACACUCGCUGCUCCGUCUGUAGACACUGAAAUCAGGUGGUUAGUGUUUAUUCCUUUGUCAUUUAGGCUCCGUUUACGUUUGUUCACAUGAUUUACACGCAAAUGGAGAAUUCACCUCUGAAAACGAAUCUUUCUAAAAACUCCGGUUUCACGUUUGUGUGUAAACUGAGAUAAACGGAGUUUUAGGAGCCGACGCGCUGAAAGUGUGACCGAUGUUUACCUGUUGCUUUGACGACGAUGAUGGAAGCAUCAGAGCAGCAGUCGCAUUUCUUCUGAUCGUGCAGGAGCACUCAGAAAACAGCAGCAUGGAGAACUUUGUACACAACAUCAGCCCGGAGCAGAAGCUCUGAGCUCAGCAGCAGCGUCAAACACACGGGAGCAGCUCCUCCAGACGGGGCUGGGGUCCAGUGUUGAUUGUCCGGAGGCUUCGUCCUCCAUGUCCUGGUUCCAGACGGAGACGAGUAAGACCAGCACAAAGGACUGGGUCCGAGCGGUUCCGUGUCGUCCUCUGUGCGCAGGUUCUGUGCGGGAAAAGCGAGAAUGUUCUGUGGACCACAGGUCCGGGUGCUCUGGUCCUCCGCGCUCGACUGCAGCUGGUUCUGAGGUGGUGCAGCGUCCGGACAGAAGCGUGAAUCCCGUUUGGUUUGUUAUAUGUUGUUCUGAGCUCUGCACACAUGUUUUUUUUGUGUGUUUUUUUUGUUUGUGUUUUUUUUCGGAGAAAGUGUUUCUCUCUAUUUGUUCUGCUGAAACACUUUUAAUGUCUUUGCAUUUGCACACAGCUGAUGGAUCAGAUCCAUGACCAGAGAUGAACGAGGGUUUUACCCCUAAACAAACCAGAUUAAAACAACAACAAAAAAAAUCAUUCCUUUUCCAUUUUCACUCAUUUUUGAAAAAGCUCCAGGGAGCCACUAGGGGAGUGCUAAAGAGCCACAUGCGGCUCCGGAGCCGCGGGUUGCCGACCCCUGGUCUAGAAUGUUUUUUUUCACUCCAUGUGUUAACUUGUACGACACAGCUGGUCUAUCCAUAGACAAGAAGAGCCCUGGGAUCUUUGGCCAGCACCUGUGCUGUCAAUCAGAUGUGCUGUGAUUGUCAAAGGAAGUGAGUGCUCCGCAACAAAUCCCACAAAAUGUCAUCAUUAGACCACAUCGUAUCGUAAACAUUACAACCACACAUUCUACAUACAUUUCCUACCUAAAUAGUAGAACUGAUUCUGUGUAACUCAGCUGCAUAAAGAAGGAAUUCUGGGUUGAACUGAGUCGGUGUAUGGAGUUGUAAUGAUAAUAUUAUCUGAAGGUGCAAUUUGAAUAUGCAUGUUCUGCUGUUGCAGCUUCCAGGCCAUUAUGUGUUUGGGAUGCUCCACAUGUUUCUUUAGUGUCACCUUCCCACUUGUCCCAUCAUUUAUAAUACAAUUGCAAGUGUUACAAAUUGUCUUACCAGCUUCUCUGAUUUUGCUGAAACAUUUCAAAGGCAGGGUGUCUCCUUGGACUUGGACAGUGUCCUCUAACCAACUGCAUUUGAAAUGAUUUUUUACUCCCUCAUCAACAGCUUUUAUGUCAGAGCUGUUCACUGCAUGUCUGGCCAUAAGUCAAAAGUAUGCUGGAAAAGAUAUAAGAAAGGAAAUUAUUUCAUUAAUACAAUUAUGACAAUCCUAACAGUUUUUAAUCAAUAUUCAAAAACUGCAGUGCACAUGAACUUGGUUUUCCAGCAGUAUACUGACAUGGUUAUUAUCCAGCAUGUUUGAUCAUGUGCUAUAAAGCCUAGAUAAAAUAUCAUCAUCAUCAUCAUCAUCAUCAUCAUCGAUGUUUCUGUUGUUAUUGUGUAGCCUACACUGCUGUAGUUAUUAUGUGCACUAUUCUGUUUUUAUGUAGCCUUACAUGCUCCGUGAUCUACACUUCGCAUAACAAUCACCAGACGCAAACGCAACGUCUAACUUCUCCAAGUCUUAUUUUCAUAACGUCUACCACAUUCAACAGCUCUCCUGCAAACAACACCACCGUCUGUCCUUGUCACCUCCAUCUAUGUUGGCUUGUUGAGCACUGUUGCUCAACUGUUGUUUUCCCCAGCCUCGGGCAGCGUCGCAUUGCUGGGCACAGGUGUGGACCCGGACAAGCGUGGGCAUUGACACAGACCAUCAUCUCAUACAUACGGUGCACCUCAUUAUAAAGGCGCUUUAAGAAGAAGUGCACAUCCCAGAAGAAACAUUAAUCAAGAUGCCAGACUUCUGCGCUGCAUACGGAAUAAACCAGGACUAAACCAGGACUAAACCAGGACUGAACCAGGACUGAACCAGGACUGAACCAGGACUAAACCAGGACUAAACCAGGACUGAACCAGGACUGAACCAGGACUGAACCAGGACUGAACCAGGACUGAACCAGGACUAACCGUGGAGUUGAGAGCAAGAGAAACCCAAGCCCACAGAGGAGUCGGGCAAAGGCUGCCCUUAGCCGCAGGUGUGCAGAGUUCUGCGCAGUUUGAAAUCCGCUUCGUAAGCAUGUUCCCAUUUUGGAUGGAGACGUCCAAUAUUACUGAAUAUUAUUGUUUAAUGUCGUGAGGCUCCUGACUACAGUAGCCAUGAUGCUUCGACAGCGGUGUGGCUUCGUAUCUUACAAAAGUCAUAUUAAACAUUUUGACAGAUUUUUGAGCGCCGUGCAUCACAUAAAAUCAGUUCUCAGAUGUAAUCUGGCAUCUUGAAUAAACAAAUUCAAUAGGAGAAUUGUUAAUUUACUAACUUACUUAUUGUUACUCACUAAUACCUGCUGUUUUCAUCUUUUUAACCUAGACUGAUAACUACACAUUGACUAACCUGACUAGUAACAUAAUUUGGUAACUAUGAAGCGUUUGACUUACAUUAGCAUUAAUAUCAUCGUGUCAAACCUUGGACACUUGAUCGGUGAAAAAUCAUUAUCUGUAAAUAACAGACCUGCAUCUAACAAAAUACAUGAAAACAACAUUGGCCUAAGCUUAUCUGCAUCAUCCAAAUGUCGAUCUUCCUCUUGGCAACUGAACACGAAGACACAGGUCGCCAACCGCGGGAAAGAGGGUGACAGCGGCAUCCUAACAGCAAAUAGGCUACUGACACGGCUGCGUCUUACAUUACUUCUCCAUGGUCGGGUUAAAUGCCCCUUUAUGCACUAUAGGCUGUAUUUUUUUCAUUAUCGAUACAUUAUCAACUCAACCCCCAGAAAGCAAGACAGUGUAAACUGUCAAAAAACAGUGUAAACUGUCUCUACAUCUCCAAUGUGCCGCUCACUGCAGUCUUCUCCACACUGAACGGACUUCAGUGCUUUAUUGUGGCUCGGGGUUCUGUCCACCAGAUGAACCAGUCUUUAAAGCCCUGGCUGCACUGCACGCAUGUUUUGGCCAAAGCCAGCGUAAAAACUGCAACUUCUGGACGUGUAAAUUUUAGAAUGCAUUAAAAGUGAAUGAGGGCGGCUCCACUGCCCCCAAGGCAUGUGUAUGCAGCAGCGCGUCCUGCGCCCGUAGAUUUCAGAAAAUAGGUUCCAUCCUGUUGUUUUGACGCUCUACGUGAGUGUAGGCGCACAUCCCCGUCAAAAUACACAAAGAGCAUGAAUCUAUUGUUGUAUUUACCAUCAGCAAAGUGUUCUCCUGGGGCAGAUCUGUGUUGUGUGAAAGAGCCCAGGUCCACAAAUACUGUUAAUUAGUGCUUUAAAAUUUACUUUUGAAAUCGUUGCAUUUGCCCGUACAUACGGUAAACACAGGCCUGUUCAGCUGUUGGUUUCACUGUGACCUGAUACAAGAGACUAAAUGUGCACAGUAGCUUUGAUCGACUUUCCCAUUGAGAAACACAGAGCCAAUGCGCGGCUGUGGUUUCGCAAGGUUAUGCACGUAAACACUGACACCUGGAGUGGAGCAAGAACCUAACCCCCAAUUUACACCAAAGCGUAACAGCGUAAGUGCAGCAGCAGCACACGAGCUGGUUUGGCCGGUUUAACCGGUCAGACAGUUUACAGCAGCAGUGUCAUACGCGCGUCCAGCGUCUUCAUUACACUACACAUCGCUCAAAUUAGGUUGGAGUUUUAAUUUUACAGAGUCGGAGUGUUUCCAGGCUUUUUAGCAGGAAAGACAGGAAAAUAAACACGUGGUGUCAAAGUAAACUUCCGAUGUCCUUUUAAAAUCCAUUCUGUAAAACCACUACAGCGUAAACACCGAGCGUCGCAUCAGAAGCUCGAGGAACAAAUCGUGAUGGACACAGAAAGUUUAGAGCCGCCAAGGAUAAAUCUAAAACACUUUACCACAUCAGACAGAAACUUUACAAGAACAAGUGAAGGAAAAGACACAAGGAGCAACGAGCAAAAGUGAAACUGAGACGAGCUUCAUUAACGCAGCUCCACAGAUACGACUCGUAACACUGCAAACAUCCACUCUGACACUUUAGAUUAGAGAUUUAAAACAGAACAGAGACAAUCAACAAUGAAAACAUGAACUAUGGGAAAAGUUUAGAGUUUAAACGGGAAAAUACACAAAGUUUAGAGUUUAAACGGGAGAAUACACAGAGUUUAGAGUUUAAACGGGAGAAUACACAGAGUUUAGAGUUUAAACGGGAGAAUACACAGAGUUUAGAGUUUAAACGGGAGAAUACACAGAGUUUAGAGUUUAAACGGGAGAAUACACAGAGUUUAGAGUUUAAACGGGAGAAUACACAGAGGCUGGCGUCACAGGAGCAGCUCUGUUGCCUCUGGUCUAAAUUGAAGCUUUUAAAAGUUUGUGCAUCUGCAGCUCUGCCAAUGUUAUGUGCUGCUGACGCUCCUGGUGUAAAUUCCGUAAGGUGGGUCCAAUUGACAGAAAUAUUUUUUUCUUUUGAGAUGUUUUUUGUUUUGUUUUUUUACAUACAAUGUCGGCUAGGUUUAGGUGUUCAUGUAGAUUUAUUCUGUGAGUAUCUGUGGGGGGACGAGGAGCAGGCUGUGAUUGUGGCCUCUCACUGGUGUCAUUGUUCAUGUUUGCAGGAGCCUGAGUCUUCAGCUGCACAGAACAGAGCGUCUGGAAUGACGGACUUGUGCUCUGACAUCACCGACUUUCAAGCAGAAGAAUGUGACCAGCUUCAAUCCCCAAAAACUUCACUUGUCAACAAACACACUGUACAGGU